AGUAUCUUGGCCGAGUGGUCUAAGGCGGUGGACUUAAGAUCCCCUCCUCGAUAGAGGGCGUGGGUUCAAACCCCACAGAUACUA